rnacentral:rRNA from 1 species
UACGAAGGGGGCUAGCGUUGCUCGGAAUGACUGGGCGUAAAGGGCGCGUAGGCGGUUUGUCUAGUCAGGCGUGAAAUUCCUGGGCUUAACCUGGGGGCUGCGCUUGAUACAGGCAGGCUUGAGUGUGGAAGAGGGUCGUGGAAUUCCCAGUGUAGAGGUGAAAUUCGUAGAUAUUGGGAAGAACACCGGUGGCGAAGGCGGCGACCUGGUCCAUUACUGACGCUGAGGCGCGAAGGCGUGGGGAGCGAACGGG